rnacentral:rRNA from 1 species
CUCGUAGGCGGUUCGUCGCGUCCGGUGUGAAAGUCCAUCGCUUAACGGUGGAUCCGCGCCGGGUGCGGGCGGGCUUGAGUGCGGUAGGGGAGACUGGAAUUCCCGGUGUAACGGUGGAAUGUGUAGAUAUCGGGAAGAACACCAAUGGCGAAGGCAGGUCUCUGGGCCGUCACUGACGCUGAGGAGCGAAAGCGUGGGGAGCGAAACA